rfam:Gossypium raimondii Chr10_contig_343, whole genome shotgun sequence.
AUGCCAUGAUGAGGACAUUUUCGUAAUAACUCCUUCAACCGUUCUCAUGCCUCAUAUAAAGAUUCUUAGUCAAAUUUCUAAAAUGAAGUGAUUUCAUUUCGAAGUUU